GGAUGAUCCGCCACACUGGAACUGAGACACGGUCCAGACUCCUACGGGAGGCAGCAGUGGGGAAUUUUGGACAAUGGGGGCAACCCUGAUCCAGCCAUGCCGCGUGAGUGAAGAAGGCCUUCGGGUUGUAAAGCUCUUUCGGCCGGGAAGAAAUCGUAUGGGUUAAUACCCUGUGCGGAUGACGGUACCGGCAUAAGAAGCACCGGCUAACUACGUGCCAGCAGCCGCGGUAAUACGUAGGGUGCGAGCGUUAAUCGGAAUUACUGGGCGUAAAGCGUGCGCAGGCGGUUUUGUAAGACAGGCGUGAAAUCCCCGGGCUCAACCUGGGAACUGCGCUUGUGACUGCAAGGCUAGAGUACGGCAGAGGGGGGGUGGAAUUCCACGUGUAGCAGUGAAAUGCGUAGGAUGUGGAGGAACACCAAUGGCGAAGGCAGCCCCCUGGGUCGAUACUGACGCUCAUGCACGAAAGCGUGGGUAGCAAACAGGAUUAGAUACCCUGGUAGUCCACGCCCUAAACGAUGUCAACUAGGUGUUGGGUGGGUAAAACCAUUUAGUACCGGAGCUAACGCGUGAAGUUGACCGCCUAGGGAGUACGGCCGCAAGGUUAAAACUCAAAGGAAUUGACGGGGACCCGCACAAGCGGUGGAUGAUGUGGAUUAAUUCGAUGCAACGCGAAAAACCUUACCUACCCUUGACAUGUCCAGGAGCCUGAAGAGAUUUGGGUGUGCCCGAAAGGGAACUGGAACACAGGUGCUGCAUGGCUGUCGUCAGCUCGUGUCGUGAGAUGUUGGGUUAAGUCCCGCAACGAGCGCAUCCCUUGUCGUUAAUUGCCAUCAUUUAGUUGGGCACUUUAACGAGACUGCCGGUGACAAACCGGAGGAAGGUGGGGAUGACGUCAAGUCCUCAUGGCCCUUAUGGGUAGGGCUUCACACGUCAUACAAUGGUCGGUACAAAGGGUCGCCAACCCGCGAGGGGGAGCCAAUCCCAGAAAGCCGAUCGUAGUCCGGAUCGUAGGCUGCAACUCGCCUGCGUGAAGUCGGAAUCGCUAGUAAUCGUGGAUCAGCAUGUCACGGUGAAUACGUUCCCGGGUCUUGUACACACCGCCCGUCACACCAUGGGAGCGGGUUCCGCCAGAAGUAGGUAGCCUAACCGCAAGGGGGGCGCUUACCACGGCGGGGUUCGUGACUGGGGUGAAGUCGUAACAAGGUA
rnacentral:rRNA from 1 species